AGAGUUUGAUCAUGGCUCAGAUUGAACGCUGGCGGCAGGCCUAACACAUGCAAGUCGAGCGGUAGCACAGGAAGCUUGCUCCUGGGUGACGAGCGGCGGACGGGUGAGUAAUGUCUGGGAAACUGCCUGAUGGAGGGGGAUAACUACUGGAAACGGUAGCUAAUACCGCAUAACGUCGCAAGACCAAAGAGGGGGACCUUCGGGCCUCUUGCCAUCAGAUGUGCCCAGAUGGGAUUAGCUAGUAGGUGGGGUAAUGGCUCACCUAGGCGACGAUCCCUAGCUGGUCUGAGAGGAUGACCAGCCACACUGGAACUGAGACACGGUCCAGACUCCUACGGGAGGCAGCAGUGGGGAAUAUUGCACAAUGGGCGCAAGCCUGAUGCAGCCAUGCCGCGUGUAUGAAGAAGGCCUUCGGGUUGUAAAGUACUUUCAGCGAGGAGGAAGGCAUUAAGGUUAAUAACCUCAGCAAUUGACGUUACUCGCAGAAGAAGCACCGGCUAACUCCGUGCCAGCAGCCGCGGUAAUACGGAGGGUGCAAGCGUUAAUCGGAAUUACUGGGCGUAAAGCGCACGCAGGCGGUCUGUCAAGUCGGAUGUGAAAUCCCCGGGCUCAACCUGGGAACUGCAUUCGAAACUGGCAGGCUAGAGUCUUGUAGAGGGGGGUAGAAUUCCAGGUGUAGCGGUGAAAUGCGUAGAGAUCUGGAGGAAUACCGGUGGCGAAGGCGGCCCCCUGGACAAAGACUGACGCUCAGGUGCGAAAGCGUGGGGGAGCAAACAGGAUUAGAUACCCUGGUAGUCC
rnacentral:rRNA from 1 species